CUUGAGCGAGCCGAGCCACAGCGGGCGUUCGGCGGGGCGGUCCUGGCCGUAGGCGGCGAGGAGGGCCUGGGCCUC
rnacentral:antisense_RNA from 1 species